GGCCCCUUCGUCUAGCGGCCUAGGAUGUCGGGUUCUCAGUCCGACGACACGGGUUCGAAUCCCGUAGGGGCUGCCA
rnacentral:tRNA from 2 species